GCCAGCUGCCCCACACCUCUGGCCAUGCUGCAGAGCGGUCCCUCGGAGGAGGACUGAGGCCAGAGGAGCGCACACAUGUCACGGUGUGGCUGCGGCAGUGCUCACCGGCUGCUGCUGCAUCCCCCAUCACAAAGGGCAAACUGCAGGCUACCAAAGCAGCACAGACCCAGGGCAUCCCCUACCAGGACGUCAGUGCUGUGGGCAGGCUGGCUUGGUUCCAGCAGAGCAGGGAUGGCCCAGGAGGAGCAGAUGCAGCAGCAAACAGCCCCUAAGUGUCACUUACUCAUAAUGCCUCUUCCUCGUGGUGACAAAGACCAAGCCAUGUGGGCUAACCCGGAUCUGGAAGAGCACGUGGCUCCGGUGGCUCAGGAUGGUCACCAGGCUGGUGUCCUCCUGCAGGGAGUAUCUGAGCUUCAUCAGCACACUCAGCUCAUCUGCAAACCUGGGAGAAAGAAGUAUGGCAUCUUGCAGCAUAAAAUGACUCACAGUACAAAUGAACUCAGCGAGAACAAGGAAUAAGAAAACCCAAAAGCAAACAGUCCUUCAGGCUGUAAGGUUGGAUACCUGGUGAGGAGCAGCCAGGACACAAAGCACUGUCCAUAUAACCUUAACGCCUCUGUCUGAGGUGCAAUCUCAGCACCCACCUGUCCCCAAACACCUCCUGGGUAGGAAUGCUGAGGGUGGAGUACUGCCCGAUCUGCAAUGUGCUGCAGUUGGCCUCGUCGUAGCUGAAGGAAACGUUGCUGAGGUCCUGGGCAUGGGAAGUCACUUU
rnacentral:lncRNA from 1 species